AGAUUGAACGCUGGCGGCAGGCCUAACACAUGCAAGUCGAGCGCGAAAAUUUCUUCGGAGAUGAGUAGAGCGGCGGACGGGUGAGUAACGCGUAGGAAUUUGCCCAGUAGUGGGGGACAACUCGGGGAAACUCGAGCUAAUACCGCAUACGCCCCAAGGGGGGAAAGCAGGGGAUCUUCGGACCUUGCGCUAUUGGAUAAGCCUGCGUCGGAUUAGCUAGUUGGUAGGGUAAAGGCCUACCAAGGCGACGAUCCGUAGCUGGUCUGAGAGGAUGAUCAGCCACACUGGGACUGAGACACGGCCCAGACUCCUACGGGAGGCAGCAGGUGGGGAAUAGUUGGACGAAGUGGGGGGACAACCCGUGAACUCCAGCCAUCGCCGCGUGUGUGAAGAAGGCCGUUAGGGUGUAAAGCACUUUCAGGUGGGAGGAAAGUGGACGGUAUAAGUAUCCGUU
rnacentral:rRNA from 1 species